AUGAGCUGGCAGGGUCAAGGCACAGAGGCGAAGUGCAGCACCUAGUCCAUACCCCAAAUUUCCCUCCCCAGCCCCAGAAACCCUCCAGCUUUCACGCAGCAUGAGGAGUUGCACGGCUGGCUGUUGGGGUUAGCAAGCUGUAGGACAAAUCCUCUAAACCAGGUUCCCCCUUCCCAACACAUGCUGGGGCUGCGCGGACAGAGCUGGGGUGCAGCACGGGAGAGCGGGGCUCCGGCACCUGCUCGGCUGGACGGCGACUCCCCUGGGACGAGUCGGGGCUGCAGCUGCAACCCCGGCUGCUGGGAGGAAACCGCGGCAUCUGGAGAGGUCUGUGUCGCAGGGACGGGGUGCUGGCAGGGCCGAGCAACCUCCUCCCGGGCUGGGGGCUGCGUGGGCUGUGCGGCUCCGGGUCGGGGGCCUGCGAGGGCUGGGCGAGCAUGGGGUGAGGACCUUGCGGAGAAUGUGUCUGCUUUCAUUCAGAAAACAUGGAGGCAAAGAGAACAUCUGGAAGAUUUUAUUGUGCCUUGUAGGAGGGACUGGCCUCGUUUAUGUACUCCCUUGGUCACCAGCACAGCACGUUUUGGGAUGUCUGUCCCCAUCUCUACAGGCAGCUGCACCCCAGCACAUGGAGGGGGACAAUGGGGUCCCCCCUGCCCUGGGGGAGACGCACAAAGCCGGGAAGGUGAUGGCAGCAAACCUUGGGGUUGGUAAGACUGAGCAUCACUGGGUCGUCCUUCCUGCAGGAGGAAUGGGGACCAAAGACCCCACAAGCAAGCCAGGUGGGCUGGCGGAGCGUGCUUCAUCUGCCCCAGGCCUCCCACCUCGUGCGGGAGUGACAGACACCGAGCGGCGAAGGCACGUCCUGGCUCAAGGGAAAUUUUGUGUUCAGGCAAAAUUUUGGAAGAAAUUUUUAACAUUUGGUGAGUUUCCAAGUAGGAAAUACAGACUGCAUUUCACCUUGUUUUAAGAGGAGAUUCUCACAGGGCUUUUUAUCCUCGCGGCUGUUAGAGUUAUCCCUGAGUACCACAGGAAAUAGUGCGUGUAUCCGUAAGGACAGAGGCCACCCUCACAGCUCUCAGGCACGGAGUGCCGGGCAGCCAGUACUGCUGGGGCCGCUCCCCCGGUGUGAUUCCCCACGCUGGGUUUGCAGCAGCCGGAGCCUGCCAGCACCAGCGCUGUCUCUCGUUGACAUCAGUUGCCUCUUUUACACCUUAUCAAACAUCAUAUGCAAUCUGUUGAAUUAAAAAAAAACAAACCAGCAACUCACGGACAGACAUCGGAGCCUGUUUGGGCCUGAGCGAUUCUGCCGCAGACACCUACAGAAGCACCAGUUCACCUAUGGCUCAGUACCUGCGGCUUUGGUUUACAGGUCCUUUGGGGACCCACCGUUCCAAAACAAAGCCCCAUGGCUGUCAUUCUUCCCCAGUUACUGACUGGUGGCUUCUCUACGGCACAUAGGAUCAACUACUCAAAGCCUUGCGUGUUCGGUGGGUAACAUGCCAGAAAGACUGAACUAAACUGAGACGAUACAGAUUUUUUAAAAAGCAAUCGUCCCUGCCUGUUCCAGUCCUUGGUUUGCAAAGCCAACAAACUUGUAGCGGAAGGAAGAAGAUGGGUAUAGAGGACAUCAGCAAGGAGCCCCUCUGCAGCAAGAGGCACGAAGCGUGCCCCCAGAGCUGCCACCUGUGCUGCGUGGAUGCAAACACACAGCGUACGGUGCUACAUUUUCAUAGUCUAGGAAAAAUGCUGAAGAGCUUUUAAAAGCACAGGCGAAUGUGUACACAAAGGGAAGUCAUGCUAUUUAGAUAAGCAUACCUUGACCUUUAGAGCUGCUGGCAAAGCAGCCAGUUUUCGCCGGCUCGCCAGCUCUGCAGGCAGCACCGAGCCCUCCGGGCUGGCAGCCCAGAAGUGCCUGCUCUCUGCCGCGGGCACGGCAGGGGCUCACGCCAGAUGGCUCCUCACUCUCCAAAACGCAUGUUAAAUAUUGGGGCAGAGCGUGCUCCACCCAGGCACCGGCUGCUUUUGUGUGGGGACACGUAUGCGAAGGACGGGGCUGCUCCCCGCAGCACGAGGCGGUGGGACGGGGCUUCCUCUAGGGCUGGCGAACGGCUCUGCUGGCUGGGCAGAUCCAUCGCUUCCAGCAGAGAGAUGGAGAAAGAGAAGAGCACACGGUACACUGGGCUUUUAAUAUUUUAAAGCCUGUUUUUGAAGUCCUAAAAAUAGCUUUUUUCCUUGUAAUAAAAAACAACAAUUGCUUGACA